GGAGUUUUAUCCUCAGUGGUUUGCGUGUGGGACUACAACUCUGGAGACCAGGGUUCGAAUCCCUGCUUAGCCA